GACGAACGCUGGCGGCGUGCUUAACACAUGCAAGUCGAACGAAGUGGCGAACGGGUGAGUAACGCGUAAUCAACCUGCCCUUCGGAGGGGGAAAACAGUUGGAAACGACUUCUAAUACCGCAUACUGAAGGAGGGGAUUGCGUCUGAUUAGCUAGUGGGAGGGGUAACGGCCAAACAAGGGGAUGAUUAGUAGCCGGUCUGAGAGGAUUAACGGCCACAUUGGGACCGGGACACGGCCCAGACUCCUACGGGAGGCAGCAGUGGGGAAUCUUCCGCAAUGGACGAAAGUCUGACGGAGCAACGCCGCGUUGGUGAUGACGGCCUUCGGGUUGUAAAGCUCUGUUAAUCGGGACGCGGUACCGGAAUAGAAAGCCACGGCUAACUACGUGCCAGCAGCCGCGGUAAUUC
rnacentral:rRNA from 1 species